rnacentral:lncRNA from 1 species
UAUUUAAAUUUUCUUUUUUCUUGUAAAACUGCUUUUGUUGUGUCAUGGACGAUGUUGUGUCAUAUGCUGACCUUGGAAAAUAAAGCAAUAAAAAAUUCUUUAAAAAAAAAAAAAUAAAAAAAAUAAUAAUUAAUUUUUUAAUUAGUUCGCUUACAGGACAGAUGGGUGAACUGCAAAAUGCAGUGCUGGCGAAACCCCAGCUACCCAUCAUUUAAUUAGCCGAGAGGCUAAUACAUAUGAAACAGCACUUGCAAAUUGUGUGCAAAUUCGUCUCAAGACCUUAAGUAAUUAGCAAAGCCUGCUUAUACCAUCAGAUCAUUUGGUCAAUCUACAUUUAAAGCAUAUUCCCCCCAAGAACCCUGGGAACUGUAGUUUGGUAUGGGUGAUUGGAAUUUUAGCUGUGUGAGGAGCAAACUACAGUUCCCAACAUACACAUAUUAGCUCAGUACAGCGGUACCUCGGGUUACAGAUGCUUCAGGUUACAGACUCUGCUAACCCAGAAAUAGUACCUCGGGUUAAGAACUUUGCUUCAGGAUGAGAACAGAAAUUGUGCUCUGGCGGCGCGGCGGCAGCAGCAGGAGGCCCCAUUAGCUAAAGUGGUGCUUCAGGUUAAGAACAGAAAUCGUGCUCCGGCGGCGCGGCAGCAGCAGGAGGCCCCAUUAGCUAAAGUGGUGCUUCAGGUUAAGAACAGUUUCAGGUUAAGAACGGACCUCUGGAAUGAAUUAAGUACUUAACCCGAGGUACCACUGUAUUGCCUGCCCUUCACCCCAAGAUCCCAUGGCAGCUUACAACAAUUUGAA